rnacentral:rRNA from 1 species
GGGGAAUAUUGGACAAUGGGCGAAAGCCUGAUCCAGCCAUGCCGCGUGAGUGAUGAAGGCCUUAGGGUUGUAAAGCUCUUUCGCCGGUGAAGAUAAUGACGGUAACCGGAGAAGAAGCCCCGGCUAACUUCGUGCCAGCAGCCGCGGUAAUACGAAGGGGGCUAGCGUUGCUCGGAAUCACUGGGCGUAAAGCGCACGUAGGCGGAUCGUUAAGUCAGGGGUGAAAUCCUGGAGCUCAACUCCAGAACUGCCCUUGAUACUGGCGAUCUCGAGUUCGAGAGAGGUUGGUGGAACUCCGAGUGUAGAGGUGAAAUUCGUAGAUAUUCGGAAGAACACCAGUGGCGAAGGCGGCCAACUGGCUCGAUACUGACGCUGAGGUGCGAAAGCGUGGGGAGCAAAC